rnacentral:snRNA from 1 species
AGAUGUGAGGAUGAUCUUGCUGCAACAUCUGUCACCCCAUUGAUUGCCAAAGCUGAUUUGGCUGAUUCAGCUGGAUAGGUGGAUGUUCCCUUUCUCCCUUACUGCUCCAUGUGCAUCUCUCUUGAAGCUGUGCACUGGUUGAAGAGGACAACCGUCCUUGAUAGAGAAGUACCAGUCUUCAGUCAAGGGUAUAUGAAGAGCUGCAUACCCCUGCUAGAACCUCCAAACAAGCUCUCCAGGUCCAUUUGCAGGGGAAGGCAGGGUAGUCAAGCUUCCAAGACUCCAGACACAUCCAAAUAAGGUGCUGCAUGUGGCAGUCUGCCUUCUUUU